rnacentral:misc_RNA from 1 species
UACAUCAUACAGGCGAUCUCAAAUCCUGAAUUUUCUUGCAUUUUAGGGGCAUCAGCAGCAUUAUGAGGAACUACGUGUUAUUUGACAGUCCAUUAAAACUUCAAAGGAUAAACCUUUAACUCCUGUUUUAUAUACAGGCUCUACUUGAGCUGUUUGUGAUUUAUUUCAUGACGAAAUACUGGUUCUUGUGAUACAGGUUCCUCAAUGUCCGAAGUGGUGGGCUUGUUCCCCCUCUUAAGAGGGCAAAGACUGACUUGCUGGGGGCCAGACCUUCUUUGCCCCGAUUCACGGACAAAGAGCAAGCAUCUAUCGACUCUCUCUACAACAACGGAGAGCCAGAUAUUCUUAUUUGUGGAAAUUGUAAGGAAGUCUUCCCAGGAAUCCACAAACUAAUCGAGCACAAGAAACAGAGCUGCAAACUGCGAUUCACUUGCCGUUGCCAGCAUACUUCUAGUCCUCCAGGAGCUCCUGCUAUGCCGGUAUGUGCCCAGUGCCAGUCAAGACAAAACAAUUGGUGGGAUCUCGUGCAACAUAUUCAGACAGCGCACAAUACAAUUCUCUACAUAAAAGAUGAAGAUCUGGAAAGCCACCACGGGAAAGGAGAGGAGGAGGAUUCUACUUGCUCCAACUGCAGCACUGCCGACUCUAGAAAUGGAACCAGCCUCACCCAAGAUUGUUGCUGGGAGGAACAAAGAGAUGCAGCGACAGAAGCUGAUAUUCGUGAUGAAGAGGAAGAAAUGCGACAACAGCCCCCAGCUGAAGACAAAUCUGUGGAUACCACGGACCUUAAAACGUCUCUCGGAUGACUGUCCUGAGCGCUGAAUGCUCUCGGCGGGCAGCUUCGGAAGCCUCCAAAUUCUCUCGGGAACAAAGAACAGCAGAAGCAGCAACAACUACGUCUCAGGAACCCAUUUCGAGCGCGCACACUUUUCCACGAACCUUCCGAAAAUUCCAACUCUUUGAAGAGUCAGAAAAAAAAAUCAUCCGCGCCUUUUAUCCUGGGGCGCAGCGAGAAAAAGAGGCUUCCCCAGCUGUGGCUUGCCAGUCAAUGUUUGCAUCCUACACUUCCAAUGUGAAAAAUCUACAUUCAAUUUUUUCUAUUCUCCUUUCCUUAAACGUAUGUGAUUGGAGAUCAUGUUCCUUUCCUCUGUCGACACUCCACCGAUGCCAGUGCUACUGAUAUACUCGAUAGAUUUAAAUCUUUAUUGGUUAUAAAUCUUUUUCAUUUGCUUGCAUUUAACCAAAUAUGAAUUUUAUUCUAACUAGAACAUGAAAAGCAUUGUUUAAUUUUAAUAUCUUUUGUAUAAGUCUAAGCAAUAAUCCUCCUAAGUAUGAUUAAGUUUCUAAAGUAUAUUUUCAUAAUUUUUGAGUAAUCGGAUGUAAUUUCACGAGUCUAAUAAACCCACUUAACAAAAAACACACAAAAAAGUUCUCUGUAAUGGAAAGUAUGCCUGCUAUGGAAUAUCUAUAAAAUCCUGCGACGUUUUAAAGUUUAUCAUUCAUAUACCAUUGUAAAAUUUGAUUCAUUUUCUCUAUUUGUUCAAAACACCAAUUCAACGAGUUUGUGCUUCUUGCACAUCCGAAUUUCAGCUUACAAAGGUGCCCCUUUAAUGAUUUAUUCUAAAAAUAAACGACGUUUAAGUUCACGCCAUGCGUUGGACAACAUAAAUGGUUAACUUUAUCGAUUCCAUCUUGUUCUAGAAUUCGAGGAAAGGUUUUUGAAGUAAAGAAUGUCACCCUAUUGUGAUGAAAAAUUCUGGUUUGACACUCCCUGAAGAAACCGUCUGAAAUGAAUGAAGUAGCAAGUAAUUUGCAGUCCAUUUGAACGAAUACCAUAUCCAUUACAACUCACUAGAAUUUAGCAUUUGUGCAGGCACACUUCAACUGCUGUCUCUAUUUCGAGCUUUUAAUGCUCAUUCAAGGAAUAUCAUUUGGAAUAGAUUCUGGCAGAUUUAUAUGGUUUUUCUUCCUGCUCACACACAACACAUUGAGUUAGCUGUUUUGUACUAUUAUAUAUUUUCUUUGAUAUAAAUUGUGACAAAUCAGACAUUAAAUUACAGCGAUAAACCAGUAAGUUUUAUAAAUUUAUUAAGUAGUAUUUCAAACGCAACGAUCGAUAAUUCACUAUUUUACAGUACCUUUCGGAUUUUGAAGUUAUCCAGAACUGUAGGAACACAGUUUAUGAACGCUAUUUUAUGCUGGCGCAUAGUUUAUGUCAAAAAUCUAAAAAAUCUGAUGUGUACACCACAUGACUUCCUUGUACGGAAUAUUAAAUUAUACGCAUUUUUUCUAGCAUUUCAUUUAAACUUAUUGGAUUUAAUUAAAUCUACUUCGUAGAUA